rnacentral:rRNA from 1 species
ACGAACGCUGGCGGCAGGCUUAACACAUGCAAGUCGAACGCAUUCACCGACUUCGGUUGGUGGGUGAGUGGCGCACGGGUGAGUAACACGUGGGAAUAUGCCUAUCGGUGGGGGAUAACUUCGGGAAAUUGAAGCUAAUACCGCAUACGCCCUACAUCAGUGAUGGUGUUGGGGAAAGAUUUAUCGCCGAUAGAUUAGCCCGCGUCCGAUUAGCUAGUUGGUGAGGUAAUGGCUCACCAAGGCGACGAUCGGUAGCUGGUCUGAGAGGAUGAUCAGCCACACUGGGACUGAGACACGGCCCAGACUCCUACGGGAGGCAGCAGUGGGGAAUAUUGGACAAUGGGCGCAAGCCUGAUCCAGCCAUGCCGCGUGAGUGAUGAAGGCCUUAGGGUUGUAAAGCCCUUUCGACGGGGAGGAAGGCACCGGCGCGAAUAGCGUUGGUGAUUGACGUAACCUGGAGAAGAAGCACCGGCUAACUCCGU